rnacentral:rRNA from 1 species
CGUGUAGGCGGCCUCUUAAGUCUGGUGUGAAAGCCCGGGGCUUACCCCCGGAAGGGCACUGGAAACUGGGAGGCUAGAGUACCGGAGAGGAGGGUGGAAUUCCUGGUGUAGCGGUGAAAUGCGUAGAUAUCAGGAGGAACACCGGUGGCGAAGGCGGGCCCUCUGGACGGAUACUGACGCUGAGACGCGAAAGCGUGGGGAGCAAACAGGAUUAGAUACCCUGGUAGUCCACGCUGUAAACGAUGGGCACUAGGUGUUCGGGGUAUUGACCCCCUGAGUGCCGCAGCUAACGCAUUAAGUGCCCCGCCUGGGGACUACGGCCGCAAGGUUAAA